GAUGAACGCUGGCGGCGUGCUUAAUACAUGCAAGUCGAACGAAGGACUCCUUGUAGCAAUACGGGGAGGCCUGAGUGGCGAAUGGGUGAGUAACACGUAGGUGACCUGCCCCGAAGUGUGGAAUAACAGCCCGAAAGGGCUGCUAAUACCGCAUACGGCCUCCGGAGUUAGAGGUCCGGAGUCCAAAGGCUGCGCAAGCGGCCGCUUUGGGAGGGGCCUGCGGUCCAUCAGCUAGCUGGUAGGGUAACGGCCUACCAGGGCGAUGACGGAUAGGGGGCCUGAGAGGGUGAUCCCCCACACUGGCGACUAGAAAC
rnacentral:rRNA from 1 species